CCCAGACCCGCCAGGCAUAGAAGGGACCUCUGCUACAAAUGUUUCAACACUCACACUAUUUUCUCAUUCCCAGAGGCUAGCAAAGAUUAGAAGGC